CACGUAGGGCGCAAGCGUUGUCCGGAAUUAUUGGGCGUAAAGAGCUCGUAGGCGGUCUGUUACGUCUGCUGUGAAAACCCGGGGCUUAACCCUGGGCUUGCAGUGGAUACGGGCAGACUAGAGGCAGGUAGGGGAGAAUGGAAUUCCCGGUGUAGCGGUGAAAUGCGCAGAUAUCGGGAGGAACACCGGUGGCGAAGGCGGCAUCCUGGACCGGUAUUGACACUGAGGCGCGAAAGCUAGGGGAGCAAACGGG
rnacentral:rRNA from 1 species